AGUGAACGCUGGCGGCAGGCCUAACACAUGCAAGUCGAGCGGCAGCGGGCUGUAGCAAUACAGUGCCGGCGAGCGGCGGACGGGUGAGGAAUACAUCGGAAUCUACCUUGUCGUGGGGGAUAACGUAGGGAAACUUACGCUAAUACCGCAUACGAACUACGGUUGAAAGCGGAGGACCGCAAGGCUUCGCGCGAUUGGAUGAGCCGAUGUCGGAUUAGCUAGUUGGCGGGGUAAUGGCCCACCAAGGCGACGAUCCGUAGCUGGUCUGAGAGGAUGAUCAGCCACACUGGAACUGAGACACGGUCCAGACUCCUACGGGAGGCAGCAGUGGGGAAUAUUGGACAAUGGGCGCAAGCCUGAUCCAGCCAUGCCGCGUGUGUGAAGAAGGCCUCGG
rnacentral:rRNA from 1 species